rnacentral:lncRNA from 1 species
UGUGUCCUGGGCCAGAGGCGGAGCCCCAGCCCCAUCCCCUUCAACCGGAGGGACCUCAGAAUUGUUGGUGUUUCCACGGGCCCCCUCCGGGACAAUGACUUUUGCUCAGCUGGUCCCCUGAAGCAUCCCCUCCAAUCUCCGUGAUGUCUGUUUCAAAGUACAUAAUACUGGACUUGGCUGCCACCCCCCUCUAUUGACCAAGAAAGUUCUAGCAGAUGGCAUUCCGUGCAUCUCUACCAAACCUAGACUGUUGCCUUCGUUGAUGUGCACAGAAUUCGAAAAAAAAAAACUGUCGAGUUCUGCUUUCCUUAGGGGGUCUCAUUCAGAGCCCAUCUUCCCUCUUCCAAGCCAGACCGGGAUUGCAGCAUCUGGGAUCCCCCUUUCCUGUCCUUCUUCAAUUGUGGAAAGGCUGGAGGACAUCCCCUGAAAUGCUCCCAGCCUAUGGCAAGAGAAGGUAGGAGGCCAAAACCAGUUCCUGAGCCACAGGCAGACCCCCGUCAUCUCCUCAAUGAAGAACCUGGAAUUGUUGGUGUUGACAUGAGGUCCUACAGGACACUGCCCUCUGUCCACCUCGGCUCUGAGCCAUCCCCAGAAGGCUCUAUGAUGUCAGCUGCAAAACAGUCAACAAUCACAUGUACCCACCCCUAAACACUGAGACCCUAAAGUGACUCUUGUAAUCCAAGAGAUGAGUUUUGGCACCAAUCUAGGCCAAUAUCCUUUGAAUUUCCCCUGAGUCCCCUGAACAGACUUCGAGGAGGGCUUUCUCUUGAUCAGCUCUCCCCAGAUCCUCACAACCUCCAGGACCCUCCGUUUGAAAGCGGAGCCCAUUGUCCUGGUUCUCUCCCCUCUUGAUUGUUACUGACGGUGGGGACUUGUUCGGACACCUCUGGAAACACAAACAUAAUCAGAGCAUCUUGCAUGUUCUGACUGUUGGUUCGCGCUCAUGCUUAACACUGAGUGAAUCAACUGAGGUGAUAUACUGGGGACGCGGACUGUGCCAAGCCAGGAAUGACCUCUUCAGGCCUCAGAUUCUGGUUCAGAGCAGCAGAGACCAAUUUCGUCAAGGCCUUCAUCUGGACAAGGGCUCACAUGACCCAACCCAGCCUGUGUGGCCCUCCCAGACCGUGAAGGGACAGUCCUCCCGGCUGCUUCUGACCCCUACUCAGCGGGGGCAAGUCCUCUUCGCCCACGUACCCCUACAUGCCACAAGGGUUCUCGCCAGAGUCCUGCCCUCAACCAUAAUGAAUGGAGGAAUGAACACGGCCGAGAUCCUGGCUUCUUGCUCAGCCUCAUCUCUGCCAGUGUGUCAUUUCCGCAAUGGGUGCAGCUUCUACAGAGAGAAGUUGGUGGGCCAGAGGCGGAGCCCCAGCCCCAUCCCCUUCAACCGGAGGGACCUCAGAAUUGUUGGUGUUUCCACGGGCCCCCUCCGGGACAGUGACUUUUGCUCAGCUGGUCCCAUGAAGCAUCCCCUCCAAUCUCCGUGA